UUGCCAGUUUGCACGCCUGCGCGGCCGCCAUCUUACACCGGUCGCCAUGAGUACGUUGGCGGAAACGGCUCUGAGAGGCAGGCGCGUGAGCGUCCUCAUUGGGGUUAGAUCUCUGUAGAGGAUAUUCGGCCUCCGUGUAAGGCCGUCCCACGGAAGUUCCUCCUCACUGCCCGAAUCUCCCGCGAGAGGCCGAGCCGACCCGAGGAUCAGGCUGGCACGUGCGAGGCUGUGAUUCAGACGCUGCCGAGAUUCGGAACAAGUAGUUGGAAAGGUUUCCUACCUGAAGAAGAUGAGAGGUCGUUCAAGACUUACAGCCUGUUAACGGAUCUUCCUUGUAAAAACAUAGGCAUGGUGCUGCUAAUCUGUUAAGGAUUCAAGAGCCAAUGUUGCCCUAGGUUUGAAUCCCCCGGUGUAAUAAGAAUAGUGCACUUGUCUGAGACUCCGUUUCCUUAUCUGUAAAAUGGUGAUAACUUUUUUCUUAAAAGCACUUGGCACAAUUCUUUGCGCAGAACAAAUGCCCCAAAAUUAUGGCUAUUACUGAAAAGGUAAGAUGUAAAAAUAGAAUUACAGAAUGAGUGCACGCUGUACCUAUCGCUUUUCAUUUUAUUUAUACUUUAUUUAGGCUCUUGAACCGAUACUCUGUUCACACGGUGUAAAAUGUUAAAUGGGCAAAAGGACGUGAGAAGACAAUUUGACUCCUCCGGAUACCCUCCUUUUUGACAGCCAUUGUGAAGCUUUUUGUGUAUCUCUACAGAGAGGUUUUAUUUCCAGAGAUGCUUACUUAUAUCUUUAUUGGUGUUUUUAAGAUAAAUAAUAGACAUUCCACAUCUUGCUCUUUUUUUUUUUCAUCUACUUGGAGAUCUUUCCUAAAUAAAGAUUGAAA